GAGUUUGAUCGUGGCUCAGGAUGAACGCUGGCGGCGUGCUUAACACAUGCAAGUCGAACGGACGGAUUGGAGCUUGCUCCAUGAAGUUAGUGGCGGACGGGUGAGUAACGCGUGGGUAACCUGCCCUAUGCAGGGGGAUAACGUUUGGAAACGAACGCUAAUACCGCAUAACCUAGUUGGUUCGCAUGAACCGACUAGCAAAGAUUUUAUCGGCAUAGGAUGGACCCGCGUUGGAUUAGCUAGUUGGUGAGAUAACAGCCCACCAAGGCAACGAUCCAUAGCCGGCCUGAGAGGGUGAACGGCCACACUGGGACUGAGACACGGCCCAGACUCCUACGGGAGGCAGCAGUGGGGAAUAUUGGUCAAUGGGCGUUAGCCUGAACCAGCCAAGUAGCGUGAAGGAUGAAGGCUCUA
rnacentral:rRNA from 1 species